AUUGAACGCUGGCGGCAGGCUUAACACAUGCAAGUCGAGCGGAGAUGAGGUGCUUGCACCUUAUCUUAGCGGCGGACGGGUGAGUAAUGCUUAGGAAUCUGCCCAUUAGUGGGGGACAACAUUCCGAAAGGAAUGCUAAUACCGCAUACGCCCUACAGGGGAAAGCAGGGGAUCUUCGGACCUUGCGCUAAUAGAUGAGCCUAAGUCGGAUUAGCUAGUUGGUGGGGUAAAGGCCUACCAAGGCGACGAUCUGUAGCGGGUCUGAGAGGAUGGUCCGCCACACUGGGACUGAGACACGGCCCAGACUCCUACGGGAGGCAGCAGUGGGGAAUAUUGGACAAUGGGCGGAAGCCUGAUCCAGCCAUGCCGCGUGUGUGAAGAAGGCCUUUUGGUUGUAAAGCACUUUAAGCGAGGAGGAGGCUACCUGGAUUAAUACUCUAGGAUAGUGGACGUUACUCGCAGAAUAAGCACCGGCUAACUCUGUGCCAGCCGCCGCCGUAAAAC
rnacentral:rRNA from 1 species